AGCAAACCGCCAUCUGUAAAAUUCAUCACUAAUUUGUUUUUUGUAUCCAUUCCAGAUAGGAGACCGACUGUUUGUGGGAGCCCCCGGAAGCUACUACUGGCAAGGGCAAAUGUACUCUAUCGAUGCCAACUCCAGAUUUAACUAUACACCGGGCCUGCUAGGCACGACGUACGGCGCCAAAGGUAUUUCUUAGCUAGCGUCGGACAUACAUACCAUUUUCUAAUAUGCGCCGCCCAAUCACUACUUAUUCAUUUCUUUGGAUGUGGUUUAGUGAGUCGUGGUUUUCUAAAGGACUGUAAUCUAGACACUUGAAUUCAUCCAGAUUGUUGGAAAAAUCGCCUUCGUCUAGUUGCUUGCUGUUUACUUUUUCUCUGUUCUGUUACUCCCACUGCACACAAAUUUGACCAUGCACCACGUCUUGUUAAGCCACCCCAGACUAAUAAAAUAAAAACCAACGACGCAGCAUCUUCAACUUAUUACCAUGUUAUACCAUUUGGUGUAGGAGUGUUAACUUCCAGGGUGCAGUGUUCUACUAAUGGUCAUUCUUAAUCCAGUACUAAAUUUGUUUAGGCUUUCAAUAAACAUACUAAAUUUGA